rnacentral:rRNA from 1 species
UACAGAGGUCUCAAGCGUUUGUUCGGAUUCAUUGGGCGUAAAGGGUGUGUAGGUGGCGCGCUAAGUCGGGUGUGAAAUUUCGGAGCUUAACUCCGAAACUGCAUUCGAUACUGGCGUGCUUGAGGACUGGAGAGGAGACUGGAAUUCAUGGUGUAGCAGUGAAAUGCGUAGAGAUCAUGAGGAAGACCAGUGGCGAAGGCGGGUCUCUGGACAGUUCCUGACGCUGAGGCACGAAGGUCAGGGGGAGCAAACGGG